UGAAGAAUUACCCCCGAACCCGAGAGAUGACGAAAAGGCAUUUGUCGGACCAUCAAUGAUAAAUUUUUCCAUU
rnacentral:snoRNA from 1 species